rnacentral:rRNA from 1 species
UACGUAGGGGGCAAGCGUUGUCCGGAAUCAUUGGGCGUAAAGCGCGCGUAGGCGGCCCUGUAAGUCCGUUGUGAAAGUCAAAGGCUCAACCUUUGAAAGCCGAUGGAUACUGCAGGGCUAGAGUCCGGAAGAGGCGAGUGGAAUUCCUGGUGUAGCGGUGGAAUGCGCAGAUAUCAGGAGGAACACCAAUAGCGAAGGCAGCUCGCUGGGACGGUACUGACGCUAAGGCGCGAAAGCAUGGGGAGCGAACAGG